rnacentral:rRNA from 1 species
CCUACGGGAGGCAGCAGUGGGGAAUUUUGGACAAUGGGCGCAAGCCUGAUCCAGCAAUGCCGCGUGAGUGAAGAAGGCCUUCGAGUUGUAAAGCUCUUUUGUCAGGGAAGAAACGGUGGGGGCUAAUAUCCCUCGCUAAUGACGGUACCUGAAGAAUAAGCACCGGCUAACUACGUGCCAGCAGCCGCGGUAAUACGUAGGGUGCAAGCGUUAAUCGGAAUUACUGGGCGUAAAGCGUGCGCAGGCGGUUUUGUAAGUCUGUCGUGAAAGCCCCGGGCUCAACCUGGGAAUUGCGAUGGAGACUGCAAGGCUUGAAUCUGGCAGAGGGGGGUAGAAUUCCACGUGUAGCAGUGAAAUGCGUAGAGAUGUGGAGGAACACCGAUGGCGAAGGCAGCCCCCUGGGUCAAGAUUGACGCUCAUGCACGAAAGCGUGGGGAGCAAACAGGAUUAGAUACCCUGGUAGUCCACGCCCUAAACGAUGUCUACUAGUUGUCGGGUUUUAAUUAACUUGGUAACGCAGCUAACGCGUGAAGUAGACCGCCUGGGGAGUACGGUCGCAAGAUUAAAACUCAAAGGAAUUGACGGCUGAGAGNGCGAGACGACGACGAGGGAGGAGG